rnacentral:lncRNA from 1 species
AAAGUCACAGCACUGGAGCUAAGGGGAGGCUGAGAGCCUUUUCAGUUAAAUUUUGUUUUCUGAAACAGGUUAUUAUAACUCACUGUAGCCAAGGGUGCCUGGGCUGAAGAUCUCUCAAAGGCUGAGCAGCAGGCAAUAGUGCCUCUGGAAGCUCUAGGAUGAACUUCUCUGCUUGCUCUAAGAAACUGAAGCUAAGACUUGGACUGUUAGAAAAUAAUCAUUGUUUGGGAUAAGUCUUCCAUGCUUUAAAACUUGUAAAAUCACAUUUUGCCACUUCAAGAGUUUUUUUCACAAGAAUAUUCUUUGCAUCUGGGUGAAGGAAAGUCACCAUGUACCCACUGGAGAGGGCCAAGAGACCUACAAAGAUGACAUCUCUGACAGUUAAUAAUAUAUAAAAUGUAUGCCUGACGGAGUAACUCAUGGGUUCGAGAGAGCAAGAUUCAGUGAGGAGACACUCUGCAGGAAGCUGUGUGCCUGGUCCAUGGUAGGCACUGUAAGAGAUAUGUGUGAGAGAGUACAUGUGACUGUUAUCACUGCAGACAAAGCUAUGGAAACUUCACCCAGGAGUUCACAACACUGGAGCUGCCUAUGUGGCCGAUUGCCAGAGUUGAGCACACAUGGUGCUGGCCAAAAAGGGGCUUAGCUUUCCCAGGAGAGACUAAGAGCAAGAAUUGGACAAGCAGAGAACAGUCUUCAAAUGAAUGUUUGGGACACAUUUGUCACAACAUUUUAUUAUAGAACAAUGACAUUCUGAUAUAUUUAGAUUCUUGUCAUUUUUUACUUAAUCUUUGUGUGUGUGUGUGUGUGUGUGUGUGUGUGUGUGUGUGUGUGUGUGUGUGUGUGUUUCAUGUCUGUUAAUAUAGACACCUAUGUUUCAUGAUAUGUAGAGGUCAGAAUUCAACCUGUUAUAAUGGUCCAGACUUUCCACUUGGUUUAAGGCUGGGUCUCUUGUCAUCUCCAUGGUAUGGACCAGUCUUAACUGUAGUGGAGACUCUGUGAAUUCCCCUCCCUUCUACCCAAAAGAACUCUGGGAUGGAAGAUGCCGUUGUCUGAUAUUGUGUGGAUAUCUGAACUCAGGUCCUUGUUCUGCAGUGAAACCUUUACCAAAUGAACUUCAGGGGAACUAGAGAGAAUUCUGGG